CCUACGGGAGGCAGCAGUGGGGAAUAUUGCGCAAUGGGCGAAAGCCUGACGCAGCAACGCCGCGUGCGGGAUGAAGGCCUUCGGGUUGUAAACCGCUUUCAGCAGGGACGAAGGGUUUCUGACGGUACCUGCAGAAGAAGCACCGGCUAACUACGUGCCAGCAGCCGCGGUGAUACGUAGGGUGCGAGCGUUGUACGGAAUUAUUGGGCGUAAAGAGCUUGUAGGCGGUCUGUUGCGUCGGAAGUGAAAACUCAGGGCUUAACCCUGAGCCUGCUUUCGAUACGGGCAGGCUUGAGGAAUGUAGGGGAGAAUGGAAUUCCUGGUGGAGCGGUGGAAUGCGCAGAUAUCAGGAGGAACACCAGUGGCGAAGGCGGUUCUCUGGACAUUUCCUGACGCUGAGAAGCGAAAGCGUGGGGAGCAAACAGGCUUAGAUACCCUGGUAGUCCACGCCGUAAACGGUGGGCACUAGGUGUGGGGUCCUUCCACGGACUCCGUGCCGCAGCUAACGCAUUAAGUGCCCCGCCUGGGGAGUACGGCCGCAAGGCUAAAACUCAAANAGAUAGACGCGUGAGACGNGCCGACGACGACGACGAGGGAGUAGG
rnacentral:rRNA from 1 species